CAAAGACAGCAGAUUUACAUCCCAGACACAUUCACGCAGGGCCCAGAGCAGCUGCCACUGUGGAAUCGAGUCGUGUAUUUUCCACUCCGCCCUUCUUGGGGUUGAUCAGAAGACAGGUUGGGGCGGCGAGGGUGG
ensembl:misc_RNA